AAAGUCGAGAUUUUCUUCAACACCAUCAGACGUGGAGAUUCAAAUGAAGUCAAUGCAAGAACAAAUGCCAAUGAAAGACGAACAAGUGAAUCGAUUGGAAUAACAAUUGCAAGAAACCCGAGAAACAAUGCAAGAACAAAUGCAAGUUAAAGAUGAAAAAGUGGAUCGAUUGGAAGAGCAAUUGCAGGAAACCCGAGAUAUUUUGAACACCUUGCUCGAGCGUUUUAAACAACAAGAAUUACAAUCUUCAACGUCGACUCGUCCUAAUGAUAGUGGAGUAUAAAAACGAGAUGAAGUUAGUGAGCCUCUUGAACUAAUACAUUUAUGUUUUCAAGUUUUUAUGUAAUUUUUGAAUUGAUGUUUGUG
rnacentral:lncRNA from 1 species